UCCGCGUGACUUAAACUGUACAAAAAUGCAUGUGUUUUUUAAUGGCCCGUCCACACUUUAAAGUUACCUUAUGGAGCGGAUAUGAGUAAGUUUUUGUCUAUUAUCGCUUAGCACACAAACAAGAAACACCGUCCAUUUUUCGCCUACCUUAGAGAGCUAUACCAUUGCUCUAGAAACAUUGAUACAAGUGGCAAGUUUUACAUUACCUUCCUAAGAGACCGGUGACCGAGAGACCUUUAUGGUUAACUCUUCCGAGAAAAUUUUAAUAAACACACUGAGCUAAAUUAUGGAAGAUAGUAUAUUUGACAAUCAACCCAAUGUUCUACAUGGGUUUGGCAGGAAUGUCUUAAUGAACGAAGAGUUGCUUGGUAUUCAAGAUAAUAGUACAGUCGGGGAAGAAGAAAUGCAAUAUGUUAAUGAUUUGCUGCAGUUUAGUUACAAAGAACACGACAACAAUCCUAAAAGUUUACUUGAAUCAAUUUAUUGUUCAGCGUUAGGUGAAAA